rnacentral:rRNA from 1 species
UACGGAGGGUGCAAGCGUUAAUCGGAAUUACUGGGCGUAAAGCGUGCGUAGGCGGAAUUUUAAGUCUGAUGUGAAAUCCCCGGGCUUAACCUGGGAACUGCAUUGGAUACUGGGAUUCUAGAGUAUGGUAGAGGGUGGCGGAAUUUCUGGUGUAGCGGUGAAAUGCGUAGAUAUCAGAAAGAACACCAAUGGCGAAGGCAGCCACCUGGGCCAAUACUGACGCUGAGGUACGAAAGCGUGGGGAGCAAAC